rnacentral:rRNA from 1 species
UUAAGUCCCGCAACGAGCGCAACCCUUGUCACUAAGUUGCCAUCAUUUAGUUGGCCACUAUAGUGAGACUGCCGGUGACAAACCGGAGGAAGGUGGGGAUGACGUCAAGUCCUCAUGGCCCUUAUGGUAGGGCUUCACACGUCAUACAAUGGUCGGUACAGAGGGUUGCCAAGCCGCGAGGUGGAGCCAAUCCCUUAAAGCCGAUCGUAGUCCGGAUCGUAGUCUGCAACUCGACUACGUGAAGUCGGAAUCGCUAGUAAUCGCGAAUCAGAAUGUCGCGGUGAAUACGUUCCCGGGCCUUGUACACACCGCCCGUCACACCAUGGGAGUGGGUUGCACCAGAAGUAGCUAGUCUAACCUUCGGGGGGACGGUUACCACGGUGUGAUUCAUGACUGGGGUGAAGUCGUAACAAGGUAGCCGUAA